AUUAACAUGGGCCAGGGGUAAGAUUGAAUUGAGGGUGUGGAAAGAAACACCAAGACUGCUUGGGCAAAAGGCCCGACUUCAAAGCACCCCAAACAGGUCACACAUCCACGGGUUGCUUCUCGUGUUCAAAACAAGGUAGAACAAAAAAAGUAAAAAGCGUUCAUGUCAAAAUAGUAUGCUCUCACCGUCGGCGCCAGAGUCUCUCUCGCGAGAAACUUGAAUUCCUCCGUGCAAGAAUCACACUCCGCGUUGUUGCGUGACGAAACCUGAUUCGAGAUGAAGAGAGUUGAAUUUGAUUUCUCGAAGCUUUCUGGUGAAUCCCAAUGAAGAUGAAGACCUUGUUGUGUGAUGAAGCUGCGUUGAAGGGUGAAAAUGAAGAUAUACGUUCGUGAUGAAGAUGAAGACCUUACUGUGUGAUGAAGCUUCCUUUUAAUUUCUUGUUCUGAUUCCGUCGCGAAGCCUUUGAUGCGAAUUGGUAUGCUUAUGUUAUUAUUACUUUUCCUCAAUCUGUUUUUGAUUUAUUCCCUUCAAUCUUUUUGUUUCUUCGAGCUUUUUGUGUCCUUCUGGAAGGUAGAUUCUUGCUGAGAAUCGUUUUUGUUGAAGUUUUUUUUGAGUUCUCGUUGGAAUUGUGAUUGAAGAGGGAAGUUUCAGUUGAGUUUUUGUAGGCUGUUAUGGAAGGUCGUUAGAGGGUGAUUCCGAAGGAUGGACCGAGAGUUGGUUAUUGGGAGAGGGAGGUUCAGUUAGAGGGUGAUUGGAGAGAAUGAGGUUCAGUUCUAAAUCGAGUUUUGAAUUUUGUUGUCGAUUCGGGAUGAGGGUUGAAUUUGAUGUUGGUGAAUUGAAGGGUGUCGUUGUGAAGAGUGAAGUGGAAAUAUUUUUGAAGUUCUCUGGUGAAUGAAAAUUGGACGAAGGUGAAGCCCUCCUCAAUUACCGAAGUAUGUAAGUUGUCAUUGUUUGGACCAAUGGAAACUGACUUGAGCUUAUGGAACUCGUGGAAUUGGCUAUUGGAGCUUGGACUCUUUUGUCAUGGUUCUGAGUUUUGUAUUGAUGGUUCUGAGUUGCUUUGGGAUUUGCUUGGAAUACACGAGCUAUUGGAUUGGCUAUGGAGUGUGGAAUUGGACUUGGAGUCAUCAUCCUUGUAAUUGGUUGUUGAUUUGUUUAUGUUGUAAUUUGAAAUGGUGUGAUUUGGAAUAUGUAUGUAUGGUUAUGACUGUAAUUUGAAAUUUUGAAUGUUUGGUAAUGAUUUGAAAUUGGAAUCGAAUGAAUGGAAUUUUGUAUGA